UUAACAGGCUGAUCCCAAAAGGGAAGUAGCUGCCCUCCCUCUCCCAAAGGCAAAUGAAACUGAACUGUUCACAGUGGCCAUAUCUAGGUGGUGGAAUUAAAGGAAAAUCAUGGCAUGAAGCAAGACAUUUGCUGUACCCAUAGCUUCACCACUCUGAUCUCCGUGAUUCCUACAGAAGAAUCCUCCAGAGACACAGCUGAACUGCCCUUCUAAGGAGAGAAGGGCCCCUGUUCUCUUGAAUCUGGUUUCCCUUAACAUUUCUCUGGCCCCAGUGACAGCUCAGAAACACACAAACUCUGUGUUAAGAAAACUAAGAGGUCAUUCAUGUUGGUUUCUUUAAGCCCACCACAAGCCUAGAUAGACUGAAUGGUGCCCUUAUUGCAAACCCUCCAUGGUAGCCAGGAUACAAAGUCUUCCCAAAUUCCCUUGGAGCUUUCCCUUCUCUGAGUACACAAACCACCACUCAGUUUAAUGAAUAAGCCUCUCAAUUCCAGCUUCUACUUGUUGGCAGAUUCAGACAUAGGCCUUUUUCUAUAAUAAACACACCUUCAAUCUUC